UACGGGAGGCAGCAGUGGGGAAUAUUGCACAAUGGGCGCAAGCCUGAUGCAGCCAUGCCGCGUGUAUGAAAAAGGCCUUCGGGUUGUAAAGUACUUUCAGUCGUGAGGAAGGUGUUAAGGUUAAUAACCUUAGCAAUUGACGUUAGCGACAGAAGAAGCACCGGCUAACUCCGUGCCAGCAGCCGCGGUAAUACGGAGGGUGCGAGCGUUAAUCGGAAUUACUGGGCGUAAAGGGCACGCAGGCGGUUAAUUAAGUUGGAUGUGAAAUCCCCGGGCUUAACCUGGGAAUGGCAUUCAAGACUGGUUUAGCUAGAGUCUUGUAGAGGGGGUAGAAUUCCAUGUGUAGCGGUGAAAUGCGUAGAGAUGUGGAGGAAUACCGGUGGCGAAGGCGGCCCCUGGACAAAGACUGACGCUCAUG
rnacentral:rRNA from 1 species